AAGUUAAACCUACUGGCGACAAAGAACGUACAGAGAGCAGGAUAAACAUGAGAAACCCACACUCGUUAAAAAGGAAGAUGAGAACAGAGACUGACAUUUAAAGAUCAGAUUAAAAGGAUAGGAAAAACGAGAGAAAAGUAAGACAAUGUGAGCGUGAGAUCCUUCGACAGAAGGGAGGUGAAGGGGACAGAUCCAACAAUCCCCCUGCUUAUUUGACUCCGAGACAAGAGAGAAGAUAGCCGAUCACGGGCCAUCAGUAACACAAACACAGCCCGGGCACUUCAUAAAUAUUUGUUGAGUAACUAAAUGUGCAUGAAAAAUGCCUUCCUUUCUGGAUGUGAAGAUAAACUGAGAUUUUAUAUGGUACCGUAUUAACAAGUUUUUGUCUUCAGGAGAAUGCUUAAAACCAUGGACAGUAUUAUUUUUGUUUUGUGUGGGUGUAUGUGUUUGUUUUUCAGACGAGGUCUUGCUCUGUCACCCAGGCUGGAGGGUAGUGGUAUGAUCACAGCUCACUGCAGACUUGACUUCCCCAGCCUCGGGUUAUCCUCCUACCUCAGUCUCCUGAGUAGCUGGGACUAUAAUGCGUGCCACCAUACCCAGUUUAUUAUUAUUAUUAUCAUCAUUAUUUUGUGUUUUUUGUAGAGACAGUGUUUCACCAUGUUGCCCAUGAUGGUCUUGAACUCCUGGGCUUAG
rnacentral:lncRNA from 10 species